rnacentral:tRNA from 2 species
AACUAGAACCUCUGGAAUAAAACUUUUAAUUUUAUAAUGACUAAUAAUCUCUAGUUU